GAUGAACGCUAGCGACAGGCUUAACACAUGCAAGUCGAGGGGCAGCAUAGAAGUAGCAAUACUUUGGUGGCGACCGGCGCACGGGUGAGUAACGCGUAUGCAACCUACCUAUCAGAGGGGAAUAACCCGGCGAAAGUCGGCCUAAUACCGCAUAAAACAGGGGCACCGCAUGGUGAUAUUUGUUAAAGAAAUUCGCUGAUAGAUGGGCAUGCGUUCCAUUAGGUAGUUGGUGAGGUAACGGCUCACCAAGCCGACGAUGGAUAGGGGAACUGAGAGGUUGGUCCCCCACACUGGUACUGAGACACGGACCAGACUCCUACGGGAGGCAGCAGUGAGGAAUAUUGGUCAAUGGGCGGGAGCCUGAACCAGCCAAGUCGCGUGAAGGAAGAAGGAUCUAUGGUUCGUAAACUUCUUUUGCAGGGGAAUAAAGUGCGGGACGUGUCCUGUUUUGUAUGUACCCUGAGAAUAAGGAUCGGCUAACUCCGUGCCAGCAGCCGCGGUAA
rnacentral:rRNA from 1 species